UCGGAUUGUAGUCUGCAACUCGACUACAUGAAGCUGGAAUCGCUAGUAAUCGCGAAUCAGAAUGUCGCGGUGAAUACGUUCCCGGGUCUUGUACACACCGCCCGUCACACCAUGGGAGUCGGAUAUGCCCGAAGUCAGUGACCCAACCAUAUGGAGGGAGCUGCCGAAGGUGGAGCCGAUAACUGGGGUGAAGUCGUAACAAGGUACC
rnacentral:rRNA from 1 species